GACGUAGGGCGCGAGCGUUGUCCGGAUUUAUUGGGCGUAAAGAGCUCGUAGGCGGCUCGUUGCGUCGGCUGUGAAAACCCGCAGCUCAACUGUGGGCUUGCAGCUGAUACGGGCGGGCUGGGAUUCGGUAGGGGAGACUGGAAUUCCUGGUGUAGCGGUGAAAUGCGCAGAUAUCAGGAGGAACACCGGUGGCGAAGGCGGGUCUCUGGGCCGGUACUGACGCUGAGGUGCGAAAGCGUGGGGAGCAAACAGG
rnacentral:rRNA from 1 species